rnacentral:ncRNA from 1 species
CGGAUUUGGUGUCAAAUCGACUUGGGAGCUGAUCCAUUAGUGGUUGGGAGGCCGACCAAUUUCAAUAAAUGCGUCGUUUAGCAGGCAUGCGGGUUUUUCGCCCAACAGUCGUGCAUCAUGCGCUGAUGUGCGCAUUAUACGUUGCUGUUACGCGCAUGCGCGCGCGAACCCAAGUUCUGUAAAGUGCCCUUCAAUUUUUUGGUCAUUUUGUAUAGUUUUUGACCCUUUUUUCAAUGUUGUGGAAUUAAUCCCGUGCCAUGAAUGACUCCAGUCCUGUUUUGACGAUGCGGAGUUCUUGUCACCAUGUGCGGACGAAAUUUCAGUGAUAACAUAGAGUCUGACUUCUGCCUGGUACUGGACUAAGUAGAGCUUAGAAUGGAAGCUCCAAUCAACUAGGCAAUAACUAUAUUUGUCCCAAGGUAGAGAAAUCGCUUGUCGCAUAAGUAGAGACCUGCAUGAAUGGUAUAACGACUACCCUACUAUUUUCGACAUGGACUCAGUGAAAUUGAAUUCUCCGUUCAGAUGCGGAGUACCAGUGGCUAGACGGUUAGACCCCGUUCACCUUGACUAGAACUUCGCAGUGAUAACUGUAUUAAAAUGUAUUGGAUAGGUGGGAGGUUGUGACACACAAUGUCUAAUCAAUCCUUAAAUACCACUCUUUGUCAUAAGUGAUGCUUCCAGGAAAUGCCAAUCUUACCAUAAACCACCUUUCAAGUGUUUGUUCCUCCAUCCAUUAAAAAAUAUUAGUGGCAUACAAUCCAUACAUCCAAAAAAGUAUCCAUACCCAUUAUCUCAAUCAAUAAGUUACAACAUUUUAUAUUAAGAAGGUUGUAGGCAGCCAUACACCCAAUAACCUAAUGUUUUCAAAAUGGAUAUCUUAGCCUU